AUGGCCCGCCGGCUUUUAGCUAUGUGCCGGUCCUACAGCUGCAGUGCUCCCUCCGUCCCUGGAGUUCCCAGCCAAGCCACAGACCUGCCUCUGAGGAAGGGAAUCGAGCAGGGAGUAGGAGAGGACCUCUGGGGACUCGGGCCUGGAGCUCCUGCCUGCCUAGAUGAAGAGGAGGUCAAGACUUGUGUCCCCCACUCUCCAAGAUACCCCCUCUGUUCUGGAGUGGUGAUCCCCUCCCCUGUUAGGACCUUGUCUCCCUCAGGACUGGACCUGUAUCCUGGGCCUGCAGUCAGAUUGCCAGUUUCACUUGGAGGUGGAAAUGUCAACCCACUGGUUGGAAUGGGAAGGUGGGCUGUGAGGUGGGGGAGGACCUUCAUUUCUAUCUGCCGGAAGGCCAGCCACUUCCUGCAUAGCAUUUCCUUCCUGCAGUAUGGGAAGGACCAGGCUUUCUCAGACCACAGAAUCUUGAGAGCCAAUUCCACAUGGAGCAAGCGGUGGCUACCAGCCUUGGGUCUACAUAACUAUGGCCUCAUCCCUGACCCAAGAAGCCUGCUCCACAGCCUUAUGGUGUCCCCGUAGGGAGAAACACCUGGCAACUUAAAUUUUUAAAAAUAACUUUUUUUUUUUUUGAGAUGGAGUCUUGCUGUGUCGCCCAGGCUGGAGUGAAGUGGCGCGAUCUCUGCUCACACACAGAAAAGUUCACAAAUCCGAAGUGUACCACUUGAUGAAUGAUCCCAAUGUGAGCACACCUCUGCAUUACCACCUGGAUCAAGAAAUAGGACAUCACAGCAACUGGCAGCUUCCAAGGAGAAGCUCCGGAAAGUUCUGCCUGUAUCAGCACCUGGCAGGAUCGGAAAUGAGUUUUCUUUAACCAGAUUUUUAAUGACUCACUUAUGUGGACAAAUCAUAACUGAAUGAAUCACCUCCUUUGUUGAUUUUUUUGGGUACUUUAUUUGCUAUUAUAAAUGAUGCUGUAGUAAGCACCCUUGAAGAAAUCUUCAUAUCUGCCUCUGCUGUGUAGCAGGUCACAGUGCCUGGGUUUGGUUCUAGCCCUCAUUUGUGAACAUGUGACUCUUCAUGCCUUUUUUCUUUCUGUAAGAUGGGAAUAAUGGUAAGAAUUUAAAUGAAGUAAUGUGGAGUGUGUUUAGUUCAGAACCUGGUGCGUACAAGCACUCACUAAGUAUCAGUAAUUAUUAGACCUUUAGAUUAAUUUAUUAGAAGUUGCAUUUCUGGUGAAAGGGUUUGAGUGUUUUUAAGGCUUUAGCACAGAAUACCCAGCCAGAUCCAGAAAGGUGGUUCCCAUUUACCUGCCUGAAGUGCCCUCACCCUUACUCAUACUGGGUACCCUUUUCUAAAAGAACAUUAAAAAUUGGAUAGGUUAAAAACAGGUGAAUAUAUUUUUUUAGUUGCAUUUUUUUUUUUUUUGGUUACCCAUGAGAGUGAACAUGUUGCCUUAUGUUUGCUGACCUCCUAAAUGGUCUAUUUGCUCCUACUUUUGUACCCCAAAAGUCUGCUCUCAAGAUGGUAGCCAGAAUGAUCCUUUUGAGACAUUUCACUCUUCUGCUUAAAGCUCUGCAAU
rnacentral:lncRNA from 1 species